rnacentral:lncRNA from 1 species
AUGGCGGUCGAGCACAAGAAAGCCGUUGGCUCGGUUUGGUUACCCGACGACGUCUUCUUCAGUAUCCUCUCCUACCUGCCGGCCAAGCCGGUGGCUCGCUUCCGCUCUGUGUCGCAUUCAUGGCGCGACAUGCUCUCGUCGGCGCCUUUCGUCCAGCUCCAUCUCCGGCGAGCCAAUAGGCCAGGCCAGCUUAAGGUCUUCUUCCACACGGGCUUGCCGGUGGACAACGAUCUCCCCGACAAGCACUUCUACUACACUUGGCAGCAGGACGGUGGUCCGGCCAAGAAGCUCAUGCGCCAUGGCUUCUCCGGAGGGUUUUCUCGGAUCACCAAGCCUCUCCAUGGCCUCGUUCUGUUGUUCCUCUUCCACUCCUAUGGCCGCGGCUUCUUCGUGCUCAACCCUUGUACCAAUGCACUCCUCACUCUUCCUGACACCAAGUAUCCAUUGAAGAACAACCGUCACCUUGGAACAAAUUUGUCCGGGAAAUACCGAUCACCGGGGUACAUGUACUGGUUGUACGGACUCGGCUACUGCUCGGCCACCGGCGAGUACAAGGUCGUCCGGCUGUUCAGUCUACCGUAUGACCCUGAGGCGGCGGCGACAUUCUGUGAGGUCUUCGUCCUCGACGCGCCGGCGUACUGGAGACCUACCGCCCAGCAGCCGCCGGCGCCGGCCGACCACAACGUCAAGGUAAUGGUGACGGACCCGCCGGUGUUCUUGAACGGAUUAUUCUACUUCCUCUGCCGUGACGGCUUGGACGUCAUCACCUUGGACGUCGGCGACGAGACGUUCGGCUCACCGCCGCCGCUGCCGGUCGCGAACAUGGCCUUGGAUCGGAACAGUAAGCUCACCCUGACGGAGCUCGAUGGCUGCUUGUGCUCGUACUAUCGAGAGGCAUGUAGCAUGCGCAGCUACGUGUUAUGGCUGCUACGAGAUGGCGAUCACGAGGCGGCGCGGUGGGAGCAACUCUGCCGCGUCGACACGGAGGCUUGGCCGAAUCCUCCGUGGAGCAUUGCUCCCCUCACCAUGCUUGACGGCAGCGGCGACGGCGAGAAGAAGAUCAUCUUCAAGACAGAUAAAUGCGUUGUGCUCGGCGUGGACCUCAACGGCAGUGGCACCAGUGCAACGCCGCCGGAGAUUCUGCUCAAUCCGGAGGACGCCGUCGCAACGGCGGCGGAGACUCAUCUCUCACCGGAGACCACCACAGCCACCUGCAGGUUCAGGAGUGAGUAUCCACCAGAGCUAAGCCUAUUCGAGGAGAGCCUCGUGCCCUUGGGCCGCACCUUGGAGGAGAUCGUCUUCUCGUCGCCGGCGACAAGGGCUUGGUCGGAGGUCCUCAAGUUGCUGCCGGCGAGGACGGUGUCGGAUCUCAGCCUCGUGUGCAGGGAGUGGCGCGCCAUGGUCACCACGAACCGCUUCAUCCGAUCGCAUGCCGUCCACUCCAACCUGAUCGCCACACACCCCCGGAUCAAGCUCGUCGUCGACACCCCUCGCGACUACCUCGACGCCUCCGGAUUCGCCGAUCUUGACGACCUGAUAAUCUCCGGAAACCGGCCAAGAAUGUGUACUUCUACUUCGUUCAUCUGUUCGCCGCCAUGCCAUGGGCUCAACCUGGGGACCUUCCGUAGGACGAACUACCUGUUCAACCCCUGCACCGGUUACCAAGUUGAGCUAUGCCCUCCUGACUACGACUACGACGACAGAGUGUUCGACGGCGUCAUGGCGCUCGGCUACGACGCGGCGACCGGCGCGCACUUGGCGGUCCAUCUCGACUGCUGGAACUUCGAGACGCGGGCCUACGAGCUGCGGUGCCGGACACAGCUCGUCGGUGGCCACGAGGUAUGGAAGCCUGCAGAAUCUCCGCCGAGGGCCGCGGACAUGGAGGUGCCGGGGGCCUAUGCUAACGGGAAAAUCUACUGGGUGGUGGACCGUAAAUUCGGGCCGCAGCCGAGCUCCACCGCCGCGGCGGCGUGCGAGCUCCUGGUGUUCGACAUGGAAGCUCGCAAGUUCGAGGUCAUCCAAGGCCCACCAUGCCGUCUCCCACGGUUCAAUUUCGGUCCUAUCGGACCCCCCGGAGAAAGGGGCCCAAAGAAAUACUAAAAAAGGGUCGUUCGAAACAAAUACCGAAAACGAAAGAUUGAACCCUGCCAUCGCCAUGGCGAGAGCAGGAUAACCCUCCUUGAGCUCCAUGGCGCUCUCUGCGUAGCCUGCUCGGACCCGGCCACCGACGCGAUCGACAUGUGGAUGGUGAAAGACGACGGUGCUUGGUCCGUGGAGUAUCGUCUAGAGAUCGGCGAGCUCUCGCCGGAGUACUCGUUGGAGACGACCUCGCCGAUGGCCAUUGAUCCGGUGGAUGGCCGCAUUCUGCUCAACACGGGCACGUCGCUGGGCUACUACGACCCCAAGACAAGGGCGUUGGAGACGAUCUACAGUGUUGAUAUUCGACAUGACAAUGAGGGACUCAGGUACAGGUUCUGUCCCGUUAUCUGCCAAGAAAGCCUCGUCUGCCCUCUCCCUGGGAAAUACUAA